GAUGAACGCUAGCGGGAGGCUUAACACAUGCAAGUCGAGGGGUAUAGUAGCAAUACUAGAGACCGGCGGACGGGUGCGUAACGCGUAUGCAGCUUGCCUUAUACAGGGGGAUAGCCCGCGGAAACGCGGAGUAAUACCCCAUAUGUCAUUUGGGUCGCCUGGUCUGGAUGAUAAAGCUGAGGUGGUAUAAGAUGGGCAUGCGUCUGCUUAGCUGGUUGGUAGGGUAACGGCCUACCAAGGCGACGAUCAGUAGGGGUUCUGAGAGGAUAAUCCACCACACUGGUACUGAGGCACGGACCAGAAUCCGACGGGAGGGAGCAGUGAGGAAUAUUGGUCAAUGGGCGAGAGCCUGAACAAGCCAUUCCGCGUGAAGGAAGAAGGCCUUAUGGGUUGUAAACUCCUUUUCUGUAAGAAGAAAAGUCCCGACGAGUCGGGAUGUGACGGUAUUAUAGGAAUGAGCAUCGGCUAACUCCGUGCCAGCAGCCGCGGUAAAAC
rnacentral:rRNA from 1 species